rnacentral:rRNA from 1 species
ACGUAGGUGGCAAGCGUUGUCCGGAAUUAUUGGGCGUAAAGGGCGCGCAGGCGGCGUCGUAAGUCGAUCUUAAAAGUGCGGGGCUUAACCCCGUGAGGGGACCGAAACUGCGAUGCUAGAGUAUCGGAGAGGAAAGCGGAAUUCCUAGUGUAGCGGUGAAAUGCGUAGAUAUUAGGAGGAACACCAGUGGCGAAAGCGGCUUUCUGGACGACAACUGACGCUGAGGCGCGAAAGCCAGGGGAGCAAACGG